GAUAAUAUUUCCAAAUACAAUUUUCUAUGUACUGGUGUGGCCUGUAACAGACCAACCGACCUUUUAUGUGAUAAUUGAUACUAUGGUUUAUGUUAUGAAGAAUAAUCCCAAUAUGAGGAUUUUUUUUCCUCGUCAUGUGAUGAACUAAUUGGAAUUUUAUCAGGAUUUGACCAACCCAUGCUUCGGCCCCCAUUUGGGGUACUUUUUUUUUUUAGAAA
rnacentral:misc_RNA from 1 species